rnacentral:rRNA from 1 species
CCUUUGUACACACCGCCCGUCGCUACUACCGAUUGAAUGGCUCAGUGAGGCUUUCGGACUGGCCUAGAGAGGUCGGCAACGACCACUCAUGGCCGGAAACUUGGUCAAACUUGGUCAUUUAGAGG